rnacentral:rRNA from 1 species
GAUGGAUAGGGGUUCUGAGAGGAAGGUCCCCCACAUUGGUACUGAGACACGGACCAAACUCCUACGGGAGGCAGCAGUGAGGAAUAUUGGUCAAUGGCCGAGAGGCUGAACCAGCCAAGUCGCGUGAAGGAAGAAGGAUCUAUGGUUUGUAAACUUCUUUUAUAGGGGAAUAAAGUGGAGGACGUGUCCUUUUUUGUAUGUACCCUAUGAAUAAGCAUCGGCUAACUCCGUGCCAGCAGCCGCGGUAAUACGGAGGAUGCGAGCGUUAUCCGGAUUUAUUGGGUUUAAAGGGUGCGUAGGUGGUGAUUUAAGUCAGCGGUGAAAGUUUGUGGCUCAACCAUAAAAUUGCCGUUGAAACUGGGUUACUUGAGUGUGUUUGAGGUAGGCGGAAUGCGUGGUGUAGCGGUGAAAUGCAUAGAUAUCACGCAGAACUCCGAUUGCGAAGGCAGCUUACUAAACCAUAACUGACACUGAAGCACGAAAGCGUGGGGAUCAAACAGGAUUAGAUACCCUGGUAGUCCACGCAGUAAACGAUGAUUACUAGGAGUUUGCGAUACAAUGUAAGCUCUACAGCGAAAGCGUUAAGUAAUCCACCUGGGGAGUACGCCGGCAACGGUGAAACUCAAAGGAAUUGACGGGGGCCCGCACAAGCGGAGGAACAUGUGGUUUAAUUCGAUGAUACGCGAGGAACCUUACCCGGGUUUGAACGUAGUCUGACCGGAGUGGAAACACUCUUUCUAGCAAUAGCAGAUUACGAGGUGCUGCAUGGUUGUCGUCAGCUCGUGCCGUGAGGUGUCGGCUUAAGUGCCAUAACGAGCGCAACCCUUAUCACUAGUUACUAACAGGUGAAGCUGAGGACUCUGGUGAGACUGCCAGCGUAAGCUGUGAGGAAGGUGGGGAUGACGUCAAAUCAGCACGGCCCUUACAUCCGGGGCGACACACGUGUUACAAUGGCAUGGACAAAGGGCAGCUACCUGGUGACAGGAUGCUAAUCUCCAAACCAUGUCUCAGUUCGGAUCGGAGUCUGCAACUCGACUCCGUGAAGCUGGAUUCGCUAGUAAUCGCGCAUCAGCCAUGGCGCGGUGAAUACGUUCCCGGGCCUUGUACACACCGCCCGUCAAGCCAUGGGAGCCGGGGGUACCUGAAGUCCGUAACCGCAAGGAUCGGCCUAGGGUAAAACUGGUGACUGGGGCUAAGUCGUAACAAGGUAGCCGUACCGGAAGGUGCGGCUG